CCUACGGGAGGCAGCAGUGAGGAAUAUUGGUCAAUGGACGGAAGUCUGAACCAGCCAUGCCGCGUGCAGGAAGACGGCUCUAUGAGUUGUAAACUGCUUUUGUACAGGGGUAAACCUGAAUACGUGUAUUCUUCUGCAAGUACUGUACGAAUAAGGAUCGGCUAACUCCGUGCCAGCCGCCGCGGUAAUACGGAGGGUCCAAGCGUUAUCCGGAUUUAUUGGGUUUAAAGGGUGCGUAGGCGGAUUGAUAAGUUAGAGGUGAAAUGUCCGGGCUUAACUCGGGAACUGCCUCUAAUACUGUUGAUCUAGAGAGUAGAUGCGGUAGGCGGAAUGUAUGGUGUAGCGGUGAAAUGCUUAGAGAUCAUACAGAACACCGAUUGCGAAGGCAGCUUACCAAGCUAUAUCUGACGUUGAGGCACGAAAGCGUGGGGAGCAAACAGGAUUAGAUACCCCAGUAGUC
rnacentral:rRNA from 1 species